rnacentral:rRNA from 1 species
CAGAGGGGCAAGCGUUGUUCGGAAUUACUGGGCGUAAAGGGCGCGUAGGCGGCCUUCUAAGUCGAACGUGAAAUCCCCGGGCUCAACCCGGGAACUGCGUCCGAGACUGGAAGGCUUGAAUCCGGGAGAGGGAUGUGGAAUUCCAGGUGUAGCGGUGAAAUGCGUAGAUAUCUGGAGGAACAUCGGUGGCGAAGGCGGCAUCCUGGACCGGUAUUGACGCUGAGGCGCGAAAGCCAGGGGAGCAAACGGGAUUAGAUACCCCGGUAGUCCUGGCCCUAAACGAUGAAUGCUUGGUGUGGCGGGUAUCGAUCCCUGCCGUGCCGAAGCUAACGCAUUAAGCAUUCCGCCUGGGGAGUACGGUCGCAAGGCUG